AUUGAACGCUGGCGGCAUGCCUUACACAUGCAAGUCGAACGGUAACAGGUCUUCGGAUGCUGACGAGUGGCGAACGGGUGAGUAAUACAUCGGAACGUGCCUAGUAGUGGGGGAUAACUACUCGAAAGAGUGGCUAAUACCGCAUGAGAUCUACGGAUGAAAGCAGGGGAUCGCAAGACCUUGUGCUACUAGAGCGGCCGAUGGCAGAUGAGGUAGUUGGUGGGAUAAAAGCUUACCAAGCCGACGAUCUGUAGCUGGUCUGAGAGGACGAUCAGCCACACUGGGACUGAGACACGGCCCAGACUCCUACGGGAGGCAGCAGUGGGGAAUUUUGGACAAUGGGCGCAAGCCUUAUCCAGCAAUGCCGCUUGCAGGAUGAAGGCCUUCGGGUUGUAAACUGCUUUUGUACGGAACGAAAAGCCCUGGGUUAAUACCCUGGAGUCAUGACGGUACCGUAAGAAUAAGCACCGGCUAACUACGUGCCAGCCGCCGCCGUAAAAC
rnacentral:rRNA from 1 species